rnacentral:tRNA from 1 species
GAGAAAAUGGCUGAGAGGUUGAAAGCAACGGUUUGCUAAAUCGUCAUAGAAUAAAAAAGUCUAUCAUAGGUUCGAAUCCUAUUUUUCUCA